rnacentral:rRNA from 1 species
CCUACGGGAGGUGCAGUGGGGAAUAUUGCACAAUGGGCGCAAGCCUGAUGCAGCCAUGCCGCGUGUGUGCAGCAGGCCUUCGGGUUGUAAAGCACUUUCAGCGGGGAGGAAGGCGGUGAGGUUAAUAACCUCAUCGAUUGACGUUACCCGCAGAAGAAGCACCGGCUAACUCCGUGCCAGCAGCCGCGGUAAUACGGAGGGUGCAAGCGUUAAUCGGAAUUACUGGGCGUAAAGCGCACGCAGGCGGUCUGUCAAGUCGGAUGUGAAAUCCCCGGGCUCAACCUGGGAACUGCAUUCGAAACUGGCAGGCUAGAGUCUUGUAGAGGGGGGUAGAAUUCCAGGUGUAGCGGUGAAAUGCGUAGAGAUCUGGAGGAAUACCGGUGGCGAAGGCGGCCCCCUGGACAAAGACUGACGCUCAGGUGCGAAAGCGUGGGGAGCAAACAGGAUUAGAUACCCGAGUAGUC